rnacentral:rRNA from 1 species
UACGUAGGUGGCAAGCGUUGUCCGGAUUUACUGGGCGUAAAGCGCGUGUAGGCGGCCCUGCAAGUCGGAUGUGAAAUCCCACGGCUCAACCGUGGAAGUGCAUUCGAAACUGCAGGGCUAGAGUCCUGGAGAGGAAGGUGGAAUGCUUGGUGUAGAGGUGAAAUUCGUAGAUAUCAAGCGGAACACCGGUGGCGAAGGCGGCCUUCUGGACAGUGACUGACGCUGAGACGCGAAGCGUGGGAGCAAACAGG